ACUUACAUUUCCUCCCGCCUGGAUCACCAGAGCGAGUGCCCUCCUCCCACUCACACCUCUAAUCAUUUUUUAGGCCCACCCCCUCCAGGUGGCCUUUUUGACUUCCCCAGCUUAGAGCAACUUCUUUCUUAGCAUGUGGUCCUUGGCAUCUGGAGGAUGUCUUUCUACAGGCUGGGUCGGGGGAGCCUGUCUCCUCACUUCUGAGCCUCUCAAGGCAGGGCCUGUACUCAUUCAUCUUUAUUUCCCUGGUGCCUAAUAUGGUGUCUGACAUCUGUGUAUGUAAAUAGUUGAGAACCUGGCUCUAGGAAAGAGCAGCCUUCUGAAUUGGUUUAAGUCCCUGCCCUGAUUCUUCUGGCUCUGUGACCCUAAGCAAGCAGCUUCCCUUCUCUGGGCAUCAGUUCCCUAAUUGCACCAUGGGGAGGUUGGACCUCCUUACUCUGAGAUUCUGUUUUUGUGGUGGUGAGAAUGGAGACUAUCAGCCAGAUGUAAAUAGAUGCAUAGGUAGCCCCUUACAACACAGCAGGUGAGGAGGCUGGGGGGUGGUAACUAGAUAAAUGGCCAGGCCCAUUUGAUCUGUAGCCCAUGUGAUCUGGGCUACUUCCUUUGCCUCUUGCACCCUCUAUUUAUUGAUAUGAAAAAUGGGAUUGACGUUACAAGAUUCCUUUGGACUUUAGGUAGGCAGAAGCUUAAUUCACACACAGUACACAGAAGGACUUAUUUGGAGAAUUGUGUCUGGGGCCCCUCUCCCUUCUCAUUUCUUCCCUAAUGGUCUCUGCUCUGUUUCUUUUCCUCUUGAUAAUUGCCUGGGAGAACCUGUACUCACCUCCCUUCACAUCAGCCCCAGUGGCUUGGUAUCAGGCCUGAGUGCAGUCCCUGACUGGUAGUCUACGGGUGGGUCUGGGCUGCAGAAUGCCUCAGUGAGCCUCCAGGCAGCUCCUCUGGUGGAGUCUCCUUUGCAAAUGUUGUUGCUGCUUCAGGAACCACAGGAUUUCCCACCACCCCAGAUUCCCAUAUUCCUGACUCCUCUGCCUCCCACACAUCCUGCCUUCUAUCUGACCCUGACCUUGGGGGUCUCUCCCAGCCUGAGAAAUGUCCCACUUGCCUCAUUACCCUUCCCUGG
rnacentral:lncRNA from 1 species